AUGUGGAAGCCACAGGGAAAAAGAACAGAGGGAAACGGGAUCACCGUGAAAGUAAAUGAGGGGCCAUUAGCUGAAAGGGAAAAGAUUAUAGGGGGAGAGGAAGGAUUUCUGAUUCAGGAUGGCCCUUUUGGAUCUUGUGAAAAUAAGUACUGUGGCUUGGGAAGGCACUGUGUGAUCAGCAGACAGACAGGGCAAGCAGAAUGUGCCUGCAUGGACCUUUGCAAACGGCACUACAAACCUGUGUGUGGAUCUGAUGGAGAAUUCUAUGAAAACCACUGUGAGGUACACAGAGCUGCUUGCCUGAAAAAGCAAAAGAUUACCAUUGUUCACAAUGAAGACUGCUUCUUUAAAGGAGAUAACUGCAAGAGCACCGAAUACAGCACAAUGAAAAGCAUGCUUUUAGAUUUACAAAAUCAAAAAUAUAUUACCCAAGAAAAUGAAAAUCCUAACGGAGAUGACGUAUCUCGGAAGAAGCUGUUGGUGGAUCAAAUGUUUAAAUAUUUUGAUGCAGACAGUAACGGACUUGUAGAUAUUAAUGAACUAACUCAGGUGAUAAAACAGGAAGAAUUUGGCAAGGAUCUUUUUGAUUGUACUUUGUAUGAUCUACUGAAGUAUGAUGAUUUUAACGAUGACAAGCACCUGGCUCUUGAAGAAUUUUAUAGAGCAUUCCGUGAGUGUAAAAAUAGAUAUGUUGAAGUGUGGUGCUCAUCUGUCCGAGUUAUGUGGUGUCAUCCUUGUUGCUAUGGUGAUACCACCCCUGUCAUCACUGAAUAGAUGACACUUUGUGAUACUCUCAAGGGCAAUAAUGAUUGGGUAACUAAGAACAUGCUUCCUCAACAUGACACUGUCCACUGACCAGGGAUGAGAUCAAAUGUGACAUGCCACAGUGUGCUCUGCAAUGUCAUUCCCACUUUGUUGGUGAUGUGUUGAUCUCCAUGAAGGGCCAAUUUGUUUUCUCAGGUACGUGGGGUGGAACUCUUCACCUCUGAGAUCUCACAACGGGCAUCACCAGGAGAAGAAUUGUGCACCAUACCAAAGUUGCGUUGAGUGUAGAUUUCUAACAAUUAGAAGAGGGUCUCUGAAUCCCAAGACAAAACCAUUAAGUUAUAGAAUACUUUGGAUAUAUAGAAAUGCAUUGCCUAGAAUGAGAAACCCAUCGAAGGCAUGGCUUCUGUUCACUUUGUACACAACAGCAGCUACCUGGUCACUAUUUCUUGUGGCUGGGACAAGCUGGUUCAAGGUGUGGAAUUUGCCCCACUGCAAGUUAAAGAUCAAUCAUAUCAACCACACAGGCUAUUUGAACAUUGUGACUGUCUCUCCAGAUGAAUCCCUCUGGGCUUCUGGAGGCAGGGAGGGCCARGCCAGGCCAUGGGUUAUCACCAGAGGUAAACAUAUUUAUACACUAGAUGUGAGGACACUAUCAAUAUCCUUUGCUUCAGCCUCAACUACUGCUGGUUCUGUGCUGUCAGAUCACAGCAGCAAGAUCAAAGACUUGGUAGGCAAGGUCAUCAUAGAUGAACCAAAGCAAGAACCUAUCAGUACCAGCAGCAAGACAGAGAAGCCCCAGUGUACUUCUCUGGCUUAAUCCCUUGAUGGCCAGACACUGUUUGUGAACUACAGGGAUGAUGUGCCAUACAAGGAAGCAGUUCUUUUACACAACAAUGAAAAUUGUUGA